rnacentral:rRNA from 1 species
UACGGAGGGUGCAAGCGUUAUCCGGAUUCACUGGGUUUAAAGGGAGCAUAGGAGGGCAGGUAAGUCAGUGGUGAAAUCCCCGUGCUUAACAUGGGAACUGCCGUUGAUACUAUCUGUCUUGAAUGCCGUGGAGAUGAGCGGAAUAUGUCAUGUAGCGGUGAAAUGCUUAGAUAUGACAUAGAACACCAAUUGCGAAGGCAGCUCGUUACACGAACAUUGACUCUGAGGCUCGAAAGCGUGGGGAUCAAACAGG